AGUUGCAUAGCUCAGUGGUUAACCUUCCUUCAGGUUAGAGCAUCUCACAUGGUAUGAGAAGGUCCUGGGUUCAAUUCCCAGUCCAACCA